GAACAUGUCUCAGUUGAUAUUGUCAUAUGCUAUGUGACCUUCAGCAAGUGACUGAGUUUCUCUAGUCUUUCAUUUGGAAAAAGCUGGGACCCUAGCCCAUGGCACGGUCCACCUACACUCGGGGAAUUAAAGGAGAAGAGAACUGAAGAGCAGGUCAACACAUGAUCCAGACUGUUUUAUAAAAGGAGCAGUUCCGAGUAAGGAUUUCAGAACGGCAAGGCACAGAACAGAGAAGGGGCAGAGCACUGAAACCUCACUGUGUGGUGUAUAACCCAGCUCUUUACCCUUCUGGUUACAUGGGCUCACGCAGAGACGA